UCUGCUGAAAGGGAGAUACACGAGAAAACAAAACAUGAGAAAUUGCAGAUGGGAAGAGGAACCGAUUGCCCAAGCGAAAUCAAUUUAUUUAUUUUUGAUUACUCAAUUUUUUUUUUAGUUUCUGAACAGACCAAUUGCACACCACCCCCAAAAAAAAAUUAUGCAAGAACCUGCCAAACGGUAUAAGACACUUUCCUGCUGGAUAUAAAUGCUUAUCCUUUGGAAAUUAUAAUAUUUGAAACUUUUCAAUUGUUCCCUAUUUGAGGCCAAAUACGUUAAUAUGUAGAAUUUGUCAAAAAUGUAGCUCAAAUAUAGGUCCCGCCUCAAUCAGACUUGAUAUCUACUCAGCCCGUGAGAAUUUAGGAGCUAUAAGUCCCAGCCCUCCCAUAAAUGGCCUCAAUGGCUCAGGGAUAAUGACAGAUCCAUCUUCUUGUUGGUAGUUCUCUAACAAACAUAUCAUCAUCCGUGGAACUGCACAAGCUGUUGCAUUUAAUGUG
rnacentral:misc_RNA from 1 species